rfam:Oryza glumipatula chromosome 4, whole genome shotgun sequence.
CUUAAGUAUAGCCAUAAGUUUCCACGUCUAACUUUAGUCAUCUGUCUUAUUUGAAAACUUGUUAUAAUUAGUACUUUUGUUGUUAUGAGAUGAUAAAAUAUGAAUAGUACUUUAUACGUGACUUAUGUUUUUAAAUUUUUUUUAAAGAAUUUUUCAAAUAAGAUGGACGAUUAAAGUUUGGGCACGGAAACUCAUGGCUGCACUUAAA